rnacentral:rRNA from 1 species
AUUGAACGCUGGCGGCAGGCCUAACACAUGCAAGUCGAGCGAGUGGCGGACGGGUGAGUAAUGUCUGGGAAACUGCCUGAUGGAGGGGGAUAACUACUGGAAACGGUAGCUAAUACCGCAUACCAUCAGAUGUGCCCAGAUGGGAUUAGCGAGUAGGUGAGGUAACGGCUCACCUAGGCGACGAUCCCUAGCUGGUCUGAGAGGAGGACCAGCCAAACGGGAACUGAGACACGGUCCAGACUCCUACGUGAGGCAGCAGUGGGGAAUAUUGCACAAUGGGCGCAAGCGUGAUGCAGCCAUGCCGCGUGUGUGAAGAAGGCCUUCGGGUUGUAAAGCACUUUCAGCGGGGAGGCGUUACCCGCAGAAGAAGCACCGGCUAACUCCGUGCCAGCAGCCGCGGUAAUUC